CUAUAUGUAAAUAUAUAUUGAAUGUAAGAAGAUAAUGUCAAUACUAGGAUUGGUGGGCAGAGCAGACAGUCUUUCCUCUGUUGAAUUUAUUUUCAUUAAUUUGAUGUAAAUAACAUCAUAAUUUAUACACGAAAUUAAAUAAAGUUCACCUAUUUCAAA